rnacentral:sRNA from 1 species
CUCCUCCCUCCUUCCUUCCCUCCCUUCCUCCCUCUCUCCCUCCCUCCUAGCUCCUGCACCGGGCUCGGCCCAGCAGCGCUUCACCCAGGUCUCUGAUGAACUCUUCCAAGGAGGCCCCAACUGGGGCCGCCUUGUGGCCUUCUUUGUCUUCGGAGCUGCACUGUGUGCUGAGAGUGUCAAUAAGGAGAUGGAGCCACUCGUGGGACAAGUGCAGGAGUGGAUGGUGACCUACCUGGAGACACGGCUGGCCGACUGGAUCCACAGCAGUGGGGGCUGGGCGGAGUUCACAGCUCUAUACGGGGACGGGGCCCUGGAGGAGGCGCGGCGUCUGCGGGAGGGGAACUGGGCCUCAGUGAGGACAGUGCUGACGGGGGCCGUGGCACUGGGGGCCCUGGUAACUGUAGGGGCCUUUUUUGCUAGCAAGUGAGAAAGUCCAGGGCCAGGUGGGGCUAGGUGUGGCUGGGGGACAGGAGAGCAGGAA